rnacentral:rRNA from 1 species
UACAGAGGUCUCAAGCGUUGUUCGGAUUCAUUGGGCGUAAAGGGUGCGUAGGUGGCGGGGUAAAGUCGGAUGUGAAAUCUCAGGGCUCAACCCUGAAACUGCGAAUUCGAUAACUGCCUUGCUCGAGGACUGGAGAGGAGAUUGGAAUUCACGGUGUAGCAGUGAAAUGCGUAGAUAUCGGUGAGGAAGACAGUGGCGAAGGCGGAUCUCUGGACAGUUCCUGACACUGAGGCACGAAGGCCAGGGGAGCAAACGGG